CGUCCUGUGGCCAAGCGGUGAAGGCGCCUGUCUUACAAACAGGAGAGCGACGGUUCGAAUCCGUCCGGGACGA
rfam:Candidatus Entotheonella sp. TSY1 genomic scaffold TSY1_scaffold00042, whole genome shotgun sequence.